UACGGGGGGAGCAAGCGUUGUUCGGAUUUACUGGGCGUAAAGGGCGCGUAGGCGGCACGGCAAGUCGGGAGUGAAAGCCCGGGGCUCAACCCCGGAGGGUCUCUCGAAACUGCCGAGCUAGAGUGCGGAAGAGGCAACCGGAAUUCCCAGUGUAGCGGUGAAAUGCGUAGAUAUUGGGAAGAACACCGGAGGCGAAGGCGGGUUGCUGGGCCGACACUGACGCUGAGGCGCGAAAGCCAGGGGAGCAAACGGG
rnacentral:rRNA from 1 species